AACAUAGAAAUGUUCUUUUGCAUGGCUAGCCUUGACCUAGUCAGAGAUAGGCAUCCUAUCCUAUGUUA
rnacentral:tRNA from 1 species